rnacentral:tRNA from 1 species
GAUGCUGCGCCGGACGAACGGAUAACUUUGAUGACGUUAAAUAUGAGGCUUCGCCUCCAGCAUCU